GGCAAAGUAGUUUAAGUUAAAAGAAUAUUAGGUUGUGGUCCUAUUGGAGGAUUGUAUCCCUUUGUUA
rnacentral:tRNA from 1 species